rnacentral:rRNA from 1 species
GAUCCUGGCUCAGGAUGAACGCUGGCGGCGUGCCUAACACAUGCAAGUCGAACGAAGCAAUUAAAGGAAGUUUUCGGAUGGAAUUUGAUUGACUGAGUGGCGGACGGGUGAGUAACGCGUGGAUAACCUGCCUCACACUGGGGGAUAACAGUUAGAAAUGACUGCUAAUACCGCAUAAGCGCACAGUGCCGCAUGGUACGGUGUGAAAAACUCCGGUGGUGUGAGAUGGAUCCGCGU